rnacentral:rRNA from 1 species
AGUGAACGCUGGCGGUAGGCCUAACACAUGCAAGUCGAACGGCAGCACAGUAAGAGCUUGCUCUUACGGGUGGCGAGUGGCGGACGGGUGAGGAAUACAUCGGAAUCUACUUUUUCGUGGGGGAUAACGUAGGGAAACUUACGCUAAUACCGCAUACGACCUACGGGUGAAAGCAGGGGAUCUUCGGCCCUUGCGCGAUUCAAUGAGCCGAUGUCGGAUUAGCUAGUUGGCGGGGUAAAGGCCCACCAAGGCGACGAUCCGUAGCUGGUCUGAGAGGAUGAUCAGCCACACUGGAACUGAGACACGGUCCAGACUCCUACGGGAGGCAGCAGUGGGGAAUAUUGGACAAUGGGCGCAAGCCUGAUCCAGCCAUGCCGCGUGGGUGAAGAAGGCCUUCGGGUUGUAAAGCCCUUUUGUUGGGAAAGAAAAGCAGCAGGUUAAUACCCCGCUGUUCUGACGGUACCCAAAGAAUAAGCACCGGCUAACUUCGUG